GUUCAUGUGUGCGGGGUGUGCCUUGCUGCCAACCUCUUGGAAGGCUAAUGAAUAAGGAAGACUCUACUACCACUACCAACACCAUCAAUCCAACUCAACAGAGGAAAAACAGUGGUGAACAUUGACCAGUCAAGUUCCCAAAAUGUUGACGAAAAACUUCGAAAUCUUCCUAAAUUGGGACAUCUUUUCAAACAGAAAUAAUGCUCUUCGAGGAUGACAGCAAUUUUGACAAAAAUUUCC